CUGAGAUUUUUCCCCUUUCUCGGCUCAAAUCUUUCAAUCCUGAGGGUCCAUAGUUUUUAUUUCCUCAUCUUUUUUUUUCUCAUCAUUAUUAUCUUAAAUUGCCUUUUUUUUGUUACUUAUUAAUUGCUCCUCCACUUUUGUCUCUUGGCGCUGCCACAACCUGGGAGGGGAAACAAACUCGAACACCCCCCCCAACAAAAAAAAACAACACAAAAGAAAACAGCACUUUUCCCUUUUUCCACCAUUUUUUAUCCUCCUUUCCCCACCUGCUCCCCCCAUCCCCCCCACCCCUAUCAACAACACGACAUUUUGGGCUUAAAAUCCCAAAGAUUCGGCACUUACUCUGAGAUGCACCACUGGUACCUACAACACUUGACAGCCGGAGCGUGAUGACGUUGGAUUUGGGGUUGAAUUCAUACUUUUCCACAUUCUUUUUUUUUUUUUUUCUUCCUGUUAUUUUAAGUUUUUCUUCCCCCAACCCCCCCUCAUAAAAAUAAUAAUAAUUAAAACAUAUUCACCAUUUCCGUUGAUUUUUUUUAUCCCCAAAUCUACCCCAACGUUGGGCAAUUCCAGGGGUGCUUUGUGGCCAUAGUAGUGCCUGAAACGAUAAGAGCCCCCUCAACCCCCCCUCCCCCUCCCCCCCCUUUCUGCCCCAUUAAGGGGCCUCACCGCGCCUCUCCUUUUUGGGGCCGUUUCCUCUGAUUCGAUGAAUUCCGCCUCCAGCCUCACCACGCUCCGGCUGCUUCACCUCAUUGCCUUCCAUUCCUUCUCUCUGCUUUUUCUCCACCAUCUUCUCUCUCCUUUGGGCCCUAUUCUUCCUCCAUUCCUUCUCUCUGCUUUCUUUCCACAUCUUCUCUCUCCUUUGGGCCCCUAUUCUUGGCAUAUUCACCAAAAUGCCUCUUUUCUUCCCCAAUUUAAAGCUUCCAUCCGGGCUGUAACCAAUCCUCGCUCGUCCGCCUCUUCUAUUGGCUGCUUUUCUAUCUUCCUCUCUUCUCUCCUUCCUCUCAUCCUGAUUUCCCUCUUCUAUUUUCUAUCUUCUUUAUUUUUGGCCUAUUUUCUUCCCUAUUUUCUUCUUUUUCUUCCCUAUUUUCUAUCUUCUUUUUUUUUUGCCUAUUUUCUUCUUUUUUUUUUUGCCUAUUUUCUUCCCUAUUUUCUUCUUAUUUUCCCUAUUUCUUCUUGUAUUUUCCUCUUUACCAUCUCCUUCCUUUUUCCUAUGCUCAUUUUUUGUUUCCAU
rnacentral:lncRNA from 1 species